GGCCCGCACAAGCGGUGGAGCAUGUGGUUUAAUUCGAUGCAACGCGAAGAACCUUACCUACUCUUGACAUCCAGAGAAUUUAGCAGAGAUGCUUUAGUGCCUUCGGGAACUCUGAGACAGGUGCUGCAUGGCUGUCGUCAGCUCGUGUUGUGAAAUGUUGGGUUAAGUCCCGCAACGAGCGCAACCCUUAUCCUUUGUUGCCAGCGAUUCGGUCGGGAACUCAAAGGAGACUGCCGGUGAUAAACCGGAGGAAGGUGGGGAUGACGUCAAGUCAUCAUGGCCCUUACGAGUAGGGCUACACACGUGCUACAAUGGCGUAUACAAAGAGAAGCGACCUCGCGAGAGCAAGCGGAACUCAUAAAGUACGUCGUAGUCCGGAUUGGAGUCUGCAACUCGACUCCAUGAAGUCGGAAUCGCUAGUAAUCGUAGAUCAGAAUGCUACGGUGAAUACGUUCCCGGGCCUUGUACACACCGCCCAUCACACCAUGGGAGUGGGUUGCAAAAGAAGUAGGUAGCUUAACCUUCGGGAGGGCGCUUACCACUUUGUGAUUCAUGA
rnacentral:rRNA from 1 species